CUCCUGAUGAGCGCCAGUGGUCUGUUGUGCGGGCUUCAAACCCGUAAAUGAUCAGAAUCAGAGUGGUUCGAUUUCAACUUCUGGGCG